UUGAUCACUGCUAAUUUCUUAG
rnacentral:misc_RNA from 1 species